CCGAGGAGCUGUUUCGAAGUGAACGCAUUGACUAUUCUGCCUUGCUAGGAAUUUCAGAACCUACUGAUGAUUACGUUAACUGGAGGUCCUUGAAGCAGCACUGGGAGGAAAUGGAUGUUGCCAAGGAGGACGACCUUUACGAAACACUAGAACUUAGAAAGGAGAGGACAGAGGAGCCAGUAGAUGAAGAGGGAGAAGAGGACUAUUAUGCUGUUCCACCACCUAGGAGAGGUGUGUGUUUUUCUAGAAUUUUCUUUAAAGUACACAAUUUCUAUUCUAAGAAUCACUGUAGCAGUAUGAAACAUCUCAGAACUUUAUCUGCUAAAUCCAGGAGCCAUGUCUGAAUAGGCUCUCUGCUACACUUAUAUUCUGCUUUAUACCACACACACACACACACACACACAUAUACACAUUUUCUAAACCGCUUGUCAGCGUUUUUUUUUUCCCCUUUGUAAUUUAAUCUGUUUGGAAAGUAAAAUGGGAUGAAACAGUUUUUAUUCAAUUUUGGAGCUUUGCUUAUCCGCAGCCAACAGCAGUAACGUUGACGCGGCGGACAGAGCGUUGGCUGAAGACAUCUAUGACUACCCUCUCUCCUACAGGAACUCGGACAAGUCCGGGGUUCAAGGUAAGGGUUUGUUGCUCUCACAGCAGCCAGUCAGGUUCCCCUUUUCCAGCUGUUUCCAGGUGUUCUACUCGACUGGGAUGGAAUUUAGGACAGCUCUUGACUGACCUCGCAUUAUUCCAGUCUGACUGCCUGAUUCAAGAUCACGUUAAUUGUUUCUGUUAAAUUUCCCCAAAACACGUUCUGAGGAUUAUCCCCAAGGUGCAAUUGUCUUUUUUCAUUUAAUAACUGUUGCCUGCUAUUUCUUUUUGCUAAUAUCGCAGAAUAUCGGGAAUGCACAGAGAGCAUUUACGAUGUGCCACAGUCCUUACUGAAGAAAUUUUCUGAGCAAACCAUCGGUAAGCCUCCGUGCUUAGACUUUGAAUGAUUUUAUAAUAAGCCGCAGUAAUACUUGUGAAUAGAAUCAAAUGUUAGCGGGUGGUGGUAAUUUCUUGGAGGAUGCUUUUAUCCAAAAUAUUUUUUACAGUAGAAAAAAUUCAGACUUCAGAGGAGGAGUAAGAUUAUUUCACUAUAUGGAACUUGUUUGGAAGUUCAUGCAAAAAUAUGCACCCUCCUGCCCAGGCAGUAAGAUGUUUUAGAAACUUGUUAUUUGUAGUAAAUUGCUCACAAAUCAGUGAUGCGAUAUAUCAGUGUUUUAGUUCCAAGUGCUGCAGAAGAUUUUAAACUGAUAGACUCUUUGGCACCUUGGUCAUCCUGAGGAAGGAGGGGAGUCUGGGGUCCCCAGGAGUAAUAGCUGUCUCUUAUUACAGAGGUCCAGUCCGAUAGUCAGAGCUCGGCACACAGCGACGCUCUCGCCUACGAUGGAAUGUGGCGACUGAGAAGGGACUCGCUGGUCAGUUGGGCAGCUGAAGUCAAGGAAGGAUAACAGGUGCAGCGGGUUUGAGAUUGUCAUCUAAGAAGUAAUACUCUUUAUGAAAAUCUGAAAUGUUUUAAUGGAGUGUGAUUUGAAUUGAGGUCAUUGUGAGGAAAUUUUCUGCGAGUCGUGUAAUUUGCCAAAUGAGUGAAUGUAAAUGUAAAUUUGAGUAAUACAAUAUACCGAUGAAAUUGUAUAUUAUGAGUUUUUGUCAGGCAUGGUAGCAGAGUGGGUAGCACUGGUACCUCACGGCACCUUAGCUGUGUAUUAGUAUGUGGGUUUGAAUAUGAGUGCCUGUGCUGAGCUAGUAUGCGCUCCCCCUAUUCGCUCUGGUUUCCGACCACAGUUCAGAGAUGCGUCUCGGGUAGACUGGGGAGUGCAAGUUGCCCGAAGUAUGCGCACAGGUGGAUGUGUUAUAUUGCCCUGGUUUAUCAGUUACUGAAAGAUUGCAAGGAAUCUAGGGAAGUAUGUGUGCACAGUGUCUGCUCUGUACAAGUUAAUCACCUGCUAAAUGAAUAAAGGCACAUGUAUGUAAAUGUCUUGCA
ensembl:lncRNA